UACGUAGGGGGCAAGCGUUGUCCGGAAUCAUUGGGCGUAAAGAGCGUGUAGGCGGCUUGGUAAGUCUGCUGUGAAAGUCCAGGGCUCAACCCUGGAAUGCCGGUGGAAACUGUCAAGCUUGAGUCCGGAAGAGGCGAGUGGAAUUCCUGGUGUAGCGGUGAAAUGCGCAGAUAUCAGGAGGAACACCAAUGGCGAAGGCAGCUCGCUGGGACGGUACUGACGCUGAGACGCGAAAGCGUGGGGAGCAAACAGG
rnacentral:rRNA from 1 species